rnacentral:rRNA from 1 species
GAGUUUGAUCGUGGCUCAGGACGAACGCUGGCGGCGUGCCUAAUACAUGCAAGUAGAACGCUGAAGGAGGAGCUUGCUCUUCUGGAUGAGUUGCGAACGGGUGAGUAACGCGUAGGUAACCUGCCUGGUAGCGGGGGGAUAACUAUUGGAAACGAUAGCUAAUACCGCAUAACAGUAGAUGUUGCAUGACAUUUGCUUAAAAGGUGCAAUUGCAUCACUACCAGAUGGACCUGCGUUGUAUUAGCUAGUUGGUGGGGUAACGGCUCACCAAGGCGACGAUACAUAGCCGACCUGAGAGGGUGAUCGGCCACACUGGGACUGAGACACGGCCCAGACUCCUACGGGAGGCAGCAGUAGGGAAUCUUCGGCAAUGGACGGAAGUCUGACCGAGCAACGCCGCGUGAGUGAGAAGGUUUUCGGAUCGUAAAGCUCUGUUGUAAGAGAAGAACGAGUGUGAGAGUGGAAAGUUCACACUGUGACGGUAUCUUACCAGAAAGGGACGGCUAACUAC